UACGUAGGGGGCUAGCGUUGUCCGGAUUUAUUGGGCGUAAAGAGCGUGUAGGCGGCCAGGUAGGUCUGCUGUGAAAACUCGAGGCUCAACCUCGAGACGUCGGCGGAAACCAUCUGGCUAGAGUCCGGAAGAGGAGAGUGGAAUUCCUGGUGUAGCGGUGAAAUGCGCAGAUAUCAGGAAGAACACCGAUGGCGAAGGCAGUUCUCUGGGACGGUACUGACGCUGAGACGCGAAAGCGUGGGGAGCGAACAGG
rnacentral:rRNA from 1 species